UACGGAGGGUCCGAGCGUUAAUCGGAAUUACUGGGCGUAAAGCGCGCGUAGGCGGCUAUUUAAGUCGGAUGUGAAAGCCCUGGGCUCAACCUGGGAACUGCAUACGAUACUGGAUGGCUAGAGUAUGGUAGAGGGUGGUAGAAUUUCUUGUGUAGCGGUGAAAUGCGUAGAUAUAAGAAGGAAUACCGGUGGCGAAGGCG
rnacentral:rRNA from 1 species